rnacentral:lncRNA from 1 species
ACACCAUUAAUUUUUCGAGCUCACUAACAACCCAGUUGAUUUUUCGAACUAACCAAUCAACAUCUUACACUCGUCUAAUUACGGGCUUGGAUCCGUCUAAUCCCCAAGUUUCUUUCUCCAAAAAAAUUUAUAAAGAAAUCAUAAAAUAAGCAAAAGUUUUUAGUUUAAACAAAACAGAAAAAUGAAACUAUUUUUCAGUACAAAAAAG